UAUUAACAAAAGUGCAGAUCCCGUCCCACUCUUCACUUUUUGACAAAAAACUUCCGAAUAGCAAUCUUGGUGAGUGAUCUCGACCGGGUUCGAUCGGCAUGGUGUGUCGUUCCUCCAGGAGUGGGUGCUGAGAGGAAGGAUGGCAAACCUCCAUUGUCAAUCGGCCGGAGCUGCAUCGUCAUUUGGAUCAGAGCAUGAACGAAAUCGAGAUGGUAGAGGUUGAGGAAUUUGUAGGACGUGAGGGUUUAGGGUGGGCAUCACGAGAACUCACCCAUAUCUUGGGAGACGGCAGACCCGAGGUGCAGUCGUGUUCGUGCUUCAGGGGCUGCCACGUGCUGUCCUCGCCGCCAUCGCCUGUCGAUGCCACUUCAGCGCCACGAGCAUGGGACUGAGGGACGAAGGGAAGAGAAGGGAAG
rnacentral:lncRNA from 1 species